rnacentral:rRNA from 1 species
AGAGUUUGAUCCUGGCUCAGGAUGAACGCCGGCGGUGUGCCUAAUACAUGCAAGUCGUACGCACUGGCCCAACUGAUUGAUGGUGCUUGCACCUGAUUGACGAUGGAUCACCAGUGAGUGGCGGACGGGUGAGUAACACGUAGGUAACCUGCCUCGGAGCGGGGGAUAACAUUUGGAAACAGAUGCUAAUACCGCAUAACAACAAAAGCCACAUGGCUUUUGUUUGAAAGAUGGCUUUGGCUAUCACUCUGGGAUGGACCUGCGGUGCAUUAGCUAGUUGGUAAGGUAACGGCUUACCAAGGCAAUGAUGCAUAGCCGAGUUGAGAGACUGAUCGGCCACAAUGGAACUGAGACACGGUCCAUACUCCUACGGGAGGCAGCAGUAGGGAAUUUUCCACAAUGGGCGCAAGCCUGAUGGAGCAACACCGCGUGAGUGAAGAAGGGUUUCGGCUCGUAAAGCUCUGUUGUUGGAGAAGAACGUGCGUGAGAGUAACUGUUCACGCAGUGACGGUAUCCAACCAGAAAGUCACGGCUAACUACGUGCCAGCAGCCGCGGUAAUACGUAGGUGGCAAGCGUUAUCCGGAUUUAUUGGGCGUAAAGCGAGCGCAGGCGGUUGCUUAGGUCUGAUGUGAAAGCCUUCGGCUUAACCGAAGAAGUGCAUCGGAAACCGGGCGACUUGAGUGCAGAAGAGGACAGUGGAACUCCAUGUGUAGCGGUGGAAUGCGUAGAUAUAUGGAAGAACACCAGUGGCGAAGGCGGCUGUCUGGUCUGCAACUGACGCUGAGGCUCGAAAGCAUGGGUAGCGAACAGGAUUAGAUACCCUGGUAGUCCAUGCCGUAAACGAUGAGUGCUAGGUGUUGGAGGGUUUCCGCCCUUCAGUGCCGGAGCUAACGCAUUAAGCACUCCGCCUGGGGAGUACGACCGCAAGGUUGAAACUCAAAGGAAUUGACGGGGGCCCGCACAAGCGGUGGAGCAUGUGGUUUAAUUCGAAGCUACGCGAAGAACCUUACCAGGUCUUGACAUCUUGCGCUAACCUUAGAGAUAAGGCGUUCCCUUCGGGGACGCAAUGACAGGUGGUGCAUGGUCGUCGUCAGCUCGUGUCGUGAGAUGUUGGGUUAAGUCCCGCAACGAGCGCAACCCUUGUUACUAGUUGCCAGCAUUAAGUUGGGCACUCUAGUGAGACUGCCGGUGACAAACCGGAGGAAGGUGGGGACGACGUCAGAUCAUCAUGCCCCUUAUGACCUGGGCUACACACGUGCUACAAUGGACGGUACAACGAGUCGCAAGCUCGCGAGAGUAAGCUAAUCUCUUAAAGCCGUUCUCAGUUCGGACUGUAGGCUGCAACUCGCCUACACGAAGUCGGAAUCGCUAGUAAUCGCGGAUCAGCAUGCCGCGGUGAAUACGUUCCCGGGCCUUGUACUAAGCCGCCCGUCA